UCGUAGCAGAAACCUAUGAUUCCAACGACAACAUUAUAGAUAGGACUGGUGCAGUCAGUUUGGGGUGUCAAUUCUUUUUCAGGCUGCCCACCGAUAGAAACGGUUGCAACAUUCCACAUCGUCUUUCUCACUAGACAGCAUUUGAAGGUUGUAACUUGGAUUCAAAAUGGUUGAAACAUCUGUCAUUGUCCAUACAGUUGUGUGGAGUUUUAUGAUUGCUAUGGUAACAACAGAUUUUUUCAAUGGUAGAUGGGAUCUAACAGGUCCAUAUCCAAGAAGACCACUAGCAGAUCCCAGUCAAGAUAGGUGGCCCAAGAAGAAAAAGGAAGAACAAUAAUUCAGUCUUUGUUACAUCUAAUAUUAAGUAUCAUUGAAAAUGGUUUAGUAGAAAUCAAGUUAUGUGGCAAUAUGCUGGUUAACAUAAUAUUCAUGAGAAUAGAAUUUGAAAUAAUGGAUAUCUUAAAAAGCCAUAAUAUAUUCAAUGGAUUCUUUAAAAAAGGAAUGUGAUGUUAUUUAUUGUAACGACCGCUAAUGAUUUUUUUUUUCAAAUUUCAUGAUUCAAUUAUAUAUUCUGGUUAUUUUUGUUUAAAUAAAAAGAAGGUAGAAUACACAUUGCAACCAACAAACUAA